UUUUUUUUUUUUUUUGUGAUGGAGUUUUGCUCUUGUCGCCCAGGCUGGAGUGCAGUGGUACAAUCUCGGCUCCCUGCAACCUCUACCUCCCAGGUUCAAGCAAUUCUCCUGCCUCGGUCUCCCGAGUAGCUGGGAUUACAGGUGCCCACCACCACGCCUAGCCCUUCACUGUGACUUCUGACAGUGCAGAUCAGAUUGGUUGUGCCUGUUUUGGACUUUAUGUAAAUGUAGUUCUGCAGGAUGGAAUCUGGUGUUGAAUGCAGAGGUUUUCAGAUUUCUCUGUUUUUUAAAGGAAAGAAUCCACCCUCGUUCAUUUUUUCACUUAAAUUGCACAGGGGACCCAACGAUAUAGAACACAAUCAGAGGUACUCUGGGCUGAGGGAGUGCUGAGUUCUGAGGCUGGGUUUCUCAGAACAGUCUAGAUUUUAAAAACCCAAUGAUCUAGCCAGAAAACGUAGGUUAGGAUUUUAUUUCCCGUUUGUGACCCUGGGCAAGUCAUUAGCCUCCUGGGCCUCGGGUUCUCACUUGGAGUAUGAGGAUAAUGAGGGUUACUGCUUCUCAGACUUGUGACGAUGCUUACUAAUGGCCAACAUGUGAAUGCGCUUUUGUGAAGUGCCAGCAGAGCAUGAGGGGUGGUCAGGGGCAGCAGUUUUAGGGGCCUGGGGGAGGCUGGGGCUUUGGGGGCCUGGUUCUCAGAUGUACAGCUAAUCCUGUACCCUUCCCGCAGACCGGCAUGGGCUGCAGGAGCCGCGGCGGGUGGAGGAGCUGCAGAACCGCAUCGCCAGCUGCCUGAAGGAGCACGUGGCAGCUGUGGCGGGCGAGCCCCAGCCAGCCAGCUGCCUGUCACGUCUGUUGGGCAAACUGCCCGAGCUGCGGACCCUGUGCACCCAGGGCCUGCAGCGCAUCUUCUACCUCAAGCUGGAGGACUUGGUGCCCCCUCCACCCAUCAUUGACAAGAUCUUCAUGGACACGCUGCCCUUCUGACCCCUGCCUGGGAACACGUGUGCACAUGCGCACUCUCAUAUGCCACCCCAUGUGCCUUUAGUCCACGGACCCCCAGAGCACCCCCAAGCCUGGGCUUGAGCUGCAGAAUGACUCCACCUUCUCACCUGCUCCAGGAGGUUUGCAGGGAGCUCAAGCCCUUGGGGAGGGGGAUGCCUUCAUGGGGGUGACCCCACGAUUUGUCUUAUCCCCCCCAGCCUGGCCCCGGCCUUUAUGUUUUUUGUAAGAUAAACCGUUUUUAACACAUAGCGCCGUGCUGUAAAUAAGCCCAGUGCUGCUGUAAAUACAGGAAGAAAGAGCUUGAGGUGGGAGCGGGGCUGGGAGGAAGGGAUGGGCCCCGCCUUCCUGGGCAGCCUUUCCAGCCUCCUGCUGGCUCUCUCUU
rnacentral:lncRNA from 1 species